GGAAGGAUGCAGGAGAGGCUUAACUGGCGGUCCUGGAAAGACCGUGUGCCGCAAGGUACCGUGGGUUCGAAUCCCACUCCUUCCG
rnacentral:tRNA from 1 species